rnacentral:rRNA from 1 species
UAACACGUAUCCAACCUGCCGAUAACUCGGGNAUAGCCUUUCGAAAGAAAGAUUAAUACCCGAUGGCAUAAUAGAACCGCAUGGUUUGAUUAUUAAAGAAUUUCGGUUAUCGAUGGGGAUGCGUUCCAUUAGGCAGUUGGUGGGGUAACGGCCCACCAAACCUUCGAUGGAUUGGGGUUCUGAGAGGAAGGUCCCCCACAUUGGAACUGAGACACGGUCCAAACUCCUACGGGAGGCAGCAGUGAGGAAUAUUGGUCAAUGGACGAGAGUCUGAACCAGCCAAGUAGCGUGAAGGAUGACUGCCCUAUGGGUUGUAAACUUCUUUUAUAUGGGAAUAAAGUGGUCCACGUGUGGAUUUUUGUAUGUACCAUAUGAAUAAGGAUCGGCUAACUCCGUGCCAGCAGCCGCGGUAAUACGGAGGAUCCGAGCGUUAUCCGGAUUUAUUGGGUUUAAAGGGAGCGUAGGUGGACAGUUAAGUCAGUUGUGAAAGUUUGCGGCUCAACCGUAAAAUUGCAGUUGAUACUGGCUGUCUUGAGUACAGUAGAGGUGGGCGGAAUUCGUGGUGUAGCGGUGAAAUGCUUAGAUAUCACGAAGAACUCCGAUUGCGAAGGCAGCUCACUGGACUGCAACUGACACUGAUGCUCGAAAGUGUGGGUAUCAAACAGGAUUAGAUACCCUGGUAGUCCACACAGUAAACGAUGAAUACUCGCUGU